UGUGCAACAUAGUUGGUUAUGGCCCAUUUCACAAUUGCAUAGGCGUGGGUUCGAGCCUUAUGCAUGUGACCUUGUAAUUAUUUUUAUUAAUGCGAGUUGAUUUACCCGUUUGGAUUCGGCUCGGUAACUGGUGUUUGGACAAGUUAACUCCUUCAGUUGUAAAAGCAAUUUUAAGCUUCAGCCGAACCAGUGGCUAGUCCUGUUUUCGUUCAGAUUGGUCAGUCUAGUCUGGUUCUAACAACAAUGAAUAAAAGUUUCAAUUAGGGUCUCAAUAGG
rnacentral:misc_RNA from 1 species